rnacentral:Y_RNA from 1 species
GGCUGGUCCGAAGGUAGUGAGUUAUCUCAAUUGAUCGUUCACAGUUACAGUUAAACUCCUGUUCUACACUCCCCCCCCUACUUUUUCAUGCACUGAACUACCUUUAA